rnacentral:lncRNA from 1 species
AUGGAUAGGGUAAGAGAAGAUAGACUUGCUCUUCAUGUGGGUUCAGGUGGAAAGGCUGCCCCAGACCUCUACUCCGGAGCAGAGGCUCAGUGGGGGAUUCCAUCACCUCUUCAAACUGAAGAACUUAUCUCUAAGCCUUCCUACUGCAAAGAUAUAAGGAAGACACAACCUGUGGACAAUGGGGAUCUGGAAGAAGAGAGAGACAAUAAAUGGCGUAAUACCUAUAUUGCCAGCCAGCCCCCUGCAGUGUCCACUCCACAUAUUUGGAAGGCAUCUACUCCACAGCCCUUCACUGCACAGACACUGAGAUGGCAAAGGCACAGACCAGAGCAGAUAUGGAGUGGAGAACAGAAGCAAAGAAACAGAUUACUUGGGAUGGAGAAAGAGAACUAUGGGUACAGAAAGACAAAGAAGAGACAUAUUUAAGCAAGGAGCAGGAUGCCAACAGUUCUCAGGAGCCUUGCAGGAGCCAGAGGAAUCCUGGAAGCACAGGAGGACAAGCAAGAAGGCGGCUAUUCCAGAGAAACUAUCAAGGUAUAAAGGGGAAGAGAGUCAGCCCCUUAGAACAGGCUACCACUGAGGAAGAGUUAAGGAAGAGCUCAGUGGGAUCAGCUCAGCCCCACGGCAUACCCCAGAGAUUCACUGAACAGCGGCAGGACUCCUUGGAUUUGGAGGAGAUACUUAGCAACAGUGAUGAAGAAGGGAGCAACUGGACCAGUGAACCUGAGUGUCCCCGUUCGCUAUCCCUUGGCACCUCUGGAUGGAAUCCUAGGAGUAAGUAUCCCUCAGGAGAAAUAUUCUGAUCCCUGGGAUUCCCUAGAUUGAGAGAGUCAUGGGGACUAAAUCCCUUGAAACCUCAGGCUCUCUUGAUGAACCAACACUUGGGGAACCAUAGGAAACUUCCAUCCUUUGGAAUCAUGCCUUUCAUAUCCUCUGAUACCAUCACUCAAGGCUUAGGCCUCUUUCUUGAGACUAUAGCCUUGAGGACACCUCUACCUCCUCUCCCAUAAUUCUUCCAUCUUGAACAAGCUCCUCAAGCUGGGUGCCUUUAGAACAAUAAAAGCUACCUCAUCCCAGGCA